GGCUCAGGAUGAACGCUAGCGGGCAAGGGCUUAACACAUGCAAGUCAGGGGCAGCGUGAUGAAGUAGCAAUACGGAUUUGACGGCGACCGGCGCAAGGGUGCGUAACGCGUGAGCAACUUGCCCGUUUCUGGGGAAUAACCGGUGGAAACGCCGACUAAUACCCCAUGGUAUAACGAAGAGGCAUCUUUUUGUUAUUAAAGAAUUUCGGAAACGGAUAGGCUCGCGUGACAUUAGCUAGAUGGCGGGGUAACGGCCCACCAUGGCGACGAUGUCUAGGGGUUCUGAGAGGAAGGUCCCCCACACUGGAACUGAGACACGGUCCAGACUCCUACGGGAGGCAGCAGUGAGGAAUAUUGGUCAAUGGUCUGACGACUGAACCAGCCAUGCCGCGUGAAGGUGACGGCCCUAUGGGUCUUAAACUUCUUUUGCAAGGGAGCAAUAAGGCGCACGUGUGCGUCGAUGAGAGUACCUUGCGAAUAAGCAUCGGCUAACUCCGUG
rnacentral:rRNA from 1 species